rnacentral:rRNA from 1 species
GUGUCAGCAGCCGCGGUAAGACGUAGGAUGCAAGCGUUGUCCGGAUUUAUUGGGCGUAAAGAGUUCGUAGGUGGCAUAUCAAGUCUGGUGUUAAAGUCCGGAGCUCAACUCCGGGAGAGCCCUGGAUACUGAUAAGCUGGAGUGCAGAAGAGGCAAGAGGAAUUCCCAGUGUAGCGGUGAAAUGCGUAGAUAUUGGGAGGAACACCGGCGGCGUAAGCGUCUUGCUGGUCUGUUACUGACGCUGAGGAACGAAAGCCAGGGGAGCAAAUGGGAUUAGAUACCCUCGUAGUCC